GCAUAAUGUCUACGGACCAAAGUGUGGGACCUUCGGGCCGCAUGCUGUCGGAUGCGCCUACGUGGGAUUAGCUAGUUGGUGAGGUAAUGGCUCACCAAGGCGACGAUCCCUAGCUGGUUUGAGAGGAUGAUCAGCCACACUGGAACUGAGACACGGUCCAGACUCCUACGGGAGGCAGCAGUGGGGAAUAUUGGACAAUGGGCGAAAGCCUGAUCCAGCCAUGCCGCGUGUGUGAAGAAGGCCUUCGGGUUGUAAAGCACUUUCAGUAGGGAGGAAGAGUUGAGUGUUAAUAGUACUCAGCUUUGACGUUACCUACAGAAGAAGCACCGGCUAACUCUGUGCCAGCAGCCGCGGUAAUACAGAGGGUGCAAGCGUUAAUCGGAAUUACUGGGCGUAAAGCGCACGCAGGCGGUUGGUUAAGUCAGAUGUGAAAGCCCCGGGCUCAACCUGGGAAUUGCAUUUGAAACUGGCCAACUAGAGUACGUGAGAGGGGGGUAGAAUUCCAAGUGUAGCGGUGAAAUGCGUAGAGAUUUGGAGGAAUACCAGUGGCGAAGGCGGCCCCCUGGCACGAUACUGACGCUCAGGUGCGAAAGCGUGGGGAGCAAACAGGAUUAGAUACCCUGGUAGUCCACGCCGUAAACGAUGUCUACUAGCUGUUCGUGGUCUUGUACUGUGAGUAGCGCAGCUAACGCACUAAGUAGACCGCCUGGGGAGUACGGUCGCAAGAUUAAAACUCAAAUGAAUUGACGGGGGCCCGCACAAGCGGUGGAGCAUGUGGUUUAAUUCGACGCAACGCGAAGAACCUUACCAGGUCUUGACAUCCAGAGAACUUUCCAGAGAUGGAUUGGUGCCUUCGGGAGCUCUGAGACAGGUGCUGCAUGGCUGUCGUCAGCUCGUGUCGUGAGAUGUUGGGUUAAGUCCCGUAACGAGCGCAACCCUUGUCCUUAGUUGCCAGCGCGCNNNNNNNGCACUCUAGAUCGACUGCCGGUGACAAACCGGAGGAAGGUGGGGAUGACGUCAAAUCAUCAUGCCCCUUAUGACCUGGGCUACACACGUACUACAAUGGCCGGUACAACGGGAAGCGAAGCCGUGAGGUGGAGCCAAUCCUAUCAAAGCCGGUCUCAGUUCGGAUUGCAGGCUGCAACUCGCCUGCAUGAAGUCGGAAUUGCUAGUAAUCGCGGAUCAGCAUGCUGCGGUGAAUACGUUCCCGGGUCUUGUACACACCGCCCGUCACACCACGAGAGUUUACAACACCCGAAGUCGGUGAGGUAACCGUAAGGAGCCAGCUGCCGAAGGUGGGGUAGAUGAUUGGGGUGAAGUCGUAACAAGGUAACCA
rnacentral:rRNA from 1 species